CCUUCUCCCGCUGGCACUUGGCCGCCCCAGCUCCCUCCGGGUUGGACGGUCGAGUGGGAUCCCUCCUCGGACGGCGAGGAGAGGGAUCAGUGAUGUCCCGGCUGGACUCACCAGGGAUGUCCGACCCCGACGUUGUGCUUCCGCUAGUGGUUUUAUCUUCUGUUGUCUUUCUUGAAAACCUUGUAAAACUCUGAUGUUUAUUUCCUAACCAAAAUAAGUGGUUAAGUUGUUA
rnacentral:lncRNA from 1 species